rnacentral:rRNA from 1 species
UACGAAGGGGGCUAGCGUUGCUCGGAAUACUGGGCGUAAAGCGUGCGCAGGCGGUUAUGUAAGACAGUUGUGAAAUCCCCGGGCUCAACCUGGGAACUGCAUCUGUGACUGCAUAGCUAGAGUACGGUAGAGGGGGAUGGAAUUCCGCGUGUAGCAGUGAAAUGCGUAGAGAUGUGGAGGAACACCGAUGGCGAAGGCAGCCCCCUGGGUCAAGACUGACGCUCAUGCACGAAAGCGUGGGGAGCAACAGG